rnacentral:rRNA from 1 species
GAUGAACGCUGGCGGCGUGCUUAACACAUGCAAGUAGAACGAGAAAUCGAGACGGAUACCUUCGGGCGGAAGGCUUCAUUUCGAGUGGCGGACGGGUGAGUAACGCGUGGGUAACCUGCCUCAUACAGGGGGAUAACAGUUGGAAACGACUGUUAAUACCGCAUAAGACCACAGCACCGCAUGGUGCGGGGGUAAAAACUCCGGUGGUAUGAGAUGGACCCGCGUUCGAUUAGCCAGUUGGCGGGGUAACGGCCCACCAAAGCGACGAUCGAUAGCCGAUCUGAGAGGAUGACCGGCCACAUUGGGACUGAGACACGGCCCAAACUCCUACGGGAGGCAGCAGUGGGGAAUAUUGCACAAUGGAGGAAACCCUGAUGCAGCGACGCCGCGUGAGUGAAGAAGUACUUCGGUAUGUAAAGCUCUAUCAGCAGGGAAGAAAAUGACGGUACCUGAGUAAGAAGCCCCGGCUAACUACGUG